AGGACAAACGCUGGCGGGGUGCAUGAGACAUGCAAGUCGAACGAGGCACUGUUGAGCUUGCUCGACGGUGUCCUAGUGGCGGACGGCUGAGUAACGCGUAGGUGACCUACCCGGAAGUGGGGAAUAACUGCCCGAAAGGGUGGCUAAUACCGCAUGUGGUCGACGAUUCGAUUCGUCGUCCAAAGGAGCAAUUCGCUUCCGGAGGGGCCUGCGUCCGAUUAGCUAGUUGGUGGGGUAACGGCUUACCAAGGCGACGAUCGGUAGCUGGUCUGAGAGGACGAUCACCCAGACUGGGACUGAGACACGGCCCAGACUCCUACGGGAGGCAGCAGUCGGGAAUUUUGCGCAAUGGACGAAAGUCUGACGCAGCAACGCCGCGUGAGGGAUGAAGGCCUUCGGGUUGUAAACCUCUUUUAUCAGGGAAGAUAAUGACGGUACCUGAUGAAUAAGUCACGGCUAACUACGUGCCAGCAGCCGC
rnacentral:rRNA from 1 species